rnacentral:rRNA from 1 species
AUUGAACGCUGGCGGCAGGCUUAACACAUGCAAGUCGAGCGGAGAUGAGGUGCUUGCACCUUAUCUUAGCGGCGGACGGGUGAGUAAUGCUUAGGAAUCUGCCUAUUAGUGGGGGACAACAUUCCGAAAGGAAUGCUAAUACCGCAUACGUCCUACGGGAGAAAGCAGGGGAUCUUCGGACCUUGCGCUAAUAGAUGAGCCUAAGUCGGAUUAGCUGUUGGUGGGGUAAAGGCCUACCAAGGCGACGAUCUGUAGCGGGUCUGAGAGGAUGAUCCGCCACACUGGGACUGAGACACGGCCCAGACUCCUACGGGAGGCAGCAGUGGGGAAUAUUGGACAAUGGGGGGAACCCUGAUCCAGCCAUGCCGCGUGUGUGAAGAAGGCCUUCGGGUUGUAAAGCACUUUCAGUAGGGAGGAAGCGUUGUGUGUUAAUAGUACACAGCGUUGACGUUACCUACAGAAGAAGCACCGGCUAACUCUGUGCCAGCCGCCGCCGUAAUAC